rnacentral:lncRNA from 1 species
UUUCUAACUUGGCAACCCCAAAUGAAGGCUCAAUCAAUAUUAAAGUUUAUUUAGUACCGUUUGGUUCGGGUAUAAGCAAGAACUAGCUAUUACAGGGAUAGGUACAAGUAUGGGGAUAAGAAAAAUAGCGUUUGAAUGAAAAUUGGGUUGUUCCCGAGGAUAAGAAAAAUAUUAGAAAGCUUUAUAUAGAAAAUGGAGGUGUUGGUGGGGAUAACCGAGAACUACUAUUCUCGGGUAAAAAAUUAGCGUUUGGGUAUAAAGGGGGGGAUAAGGGCCUAUCCCUAUUCCUAUUCCCAAACCAAACGGUGCAGGAUUUAAGUGUCAUGUACGACAAAAAGUGAGGACCAAAACUAAAAUUUAGCCUAUUAAGAGAUAGAGAAAUGCUAGGUGUACAACCCAUAAGGGUUGUAAUCUUUAUAACCAUUAAUCCAAUGGUUUGAGGGUUUAAUCAACCGUUUUUUACUUUUUGGUAAAUAAAAAAAAAUUUGAUAAGACUACUGUAUUAAUUAUAGUAUUUAGAUGGCUUAUCCAAUUCUUUAAAAUUUUGAUUUUACCGUCUAAUCUCCCGCUUUAUACGAUUUAAUUCAGUCUACAGUACUUUGUCUUCAAAAUUUAAACGCCUAGUUUAUCUUUACAGACUUAGUUAGUAUAUUUUAUACAAUUCUUGCAAAUAUAAAUUUAUUAAAGUAAAUAAUUAGCGUAUAUUUUAAAAUAAAAAAUAUUGUCGACUGAUUCAAAUUAAAUAAAUUAAAAAUUAAAUAGUAAACUUAAAAUUUUUAAAAAAUAAAUAUACAAUUAAAAAAUAGUGUAUAGUUUGGAUAACUUCUGAACGUUUUCACUUUUAUCUUUAUUGAUAUAUAUAUAUGGGAUAAUUGCCAAUAUACUCUUCAUGCGUUUGAAUAUAUCCGAUUUACCCCUACUUUUUUUUUUCUUUCUAAAAUACCCCUCAUAUGUUCCACCGUUAUUCCAAAAUACCCCCGCAGUUAUCCCCUGUUAAACUAACUCGGGUUAAACAUGAGUUAAAUGUAUACCAGAGUUAAAACCUAAUUAAAAUACCUAUUUUACCCCUAUCUUAUUAAACUAUUUUCUUAAAUUAUCCUUUCUUUCUCUCCCAACUUAACAUUAUUACUCUCGAUCAAGUCCGCCGCUCACCGCCCGCCGCCCGCCGCCGCGAGCGCCAGCAGCUCACCGCCACCGCCACCGCCAACCUCGGCGCCGGCUCCUCCGCCUCCACCUUCGUCCCCAAGAAGCCUCGCCUNNNNNNNNNNNNNNUAUCCGAAUAACUGUCAAAUCCGUUUUUAGCCGUAUUUUUCAACGAAUUUAAAAAUUAAAAGACGAAUUUUAUCCGAAUUAUAUCUGUACCGAAUUUUUGCCGAAUCUGAAUUAACUAACUAUGCCUCCAACCACUAAGAUUGGUUUAGCUGCGAUCGAUCUCAUCCGUUCAUCUGCUCGCUCCCAACGUGCUUAAUUAAUUAAUUGAUAUUUGAAGGGCAAAUAAAAAAAAUAUUUGGUAUAUGAAGGGUAUAUAAGAUAAGUGAGUUACGGUACGAGGGUAUAUUGGAAUGGGCAAAAUGGUAAUUUUUUAGAAAUAACAGCAGCUAACUGACGGAACUUAACUCCAGGGGUAUAUUAGAAAGACUUGGAACAUAAGAAGGGUAUUUUCAAUAUUAGCCUUCUAAGAGGGGUAAAUAAGAAAAUCAGAAACUUUUUAGGAGUAUAUAGGCAAUUGCCCCUAUAUAUAUAUAUAUAUAUAUAUUGAUACUAUAAUUUGGCACUAUUAAAUAAUUC